rnacentral:rRNA from 1 species
UACGUAGGGAGCAAGCGUUGUCCGGAAUCAUUGGGCGUAAAGCGCGCGUAGGCGGCCCGAUAAGUCCGUUGUGAAAGUCAAAGGCUCAACCUUGAAUGCCGAUGGAUACUGUCGGGCUAGAGUCCGGAAGAGGCGAGUGGAAUUCCUGGUGUAGCGGUGGAAUGCGCAGAUAUCAGGAGGAACACCAAUAGCGAAGGCAGCUCGCUGGGACGGUACUGACGCUAAGGCGCGAAAGCGUGGGGAGCGAACAGG